rnacentral:rRNA from 1 species
UACGUAGGGUGCAAGCGUUGUCCGGAAUUAUUGGGCGUAAAGAGCUCGUAGGCGGUCUGUCGCGUCUGCUGUGAAAACUCAGGGCUUAACCCUGAGCUUGCAGUGGGUACGGGCAGACUAGAGUGCGGUAGGGGAGACUGGAAUUCCUGGUGUAGCGGUGAAAUGCGCAGAUAUCAAGGGAGGGAACACCCGGUGGGCGAAGGCGGGUCUCUGGGCCGUA